UACGGAGGGUGCAAGCGUUAUCCGGAUUCACUGGGUUUAAAGGGUGCGUAGGUGGGUUGGUAAGUCAGUGGUGAAAUCCCCGAGCUUAACUUGGGAACUGCCAUUGAUACUAUCAGUCUUGAAUACCGUGGAGGUUAGCGGAAUAUGUCAUGUAGCGGUGAAAUGCUUAGAUAUGACAUAGAACACCAAUUGCGAAGGCAGCUUACUAAGCUGUAACUGACGCUGAGGCACGAAAGCGUGGGGAUCAAACAGG
rnacentral:rRNA from 1 species